GCCAUCUUAAGAAAAGCGCUAACCAGGAGACGAAGACAAAGCUGGGGCUUCUUGGAGACCAAAACACAAACUAAAGACGGACAAAGCUUCCCUUUACAGGUCUACUGUGAGUAGGGCAAACUCUCCGCCAACACCAGGGGAAACGUGGGAGCACGCCCAGAGGUCUAUGGCAGCAGGAUCUGAGACAGGCAGGUGGCCUUUCCAGGAGCAAGCGAUCCCUCAGACGCUUUCAGAACAGGUGUUGAAGGUCCAAAGUGUCUUCCGGCUACACAAUGAGCAAAUUAUAUCUUCAGAAAAGACGGAGGGGACAGGAACAAAGAGGCAUAGGAAGAAGAAGAGUUAAGGACAGUCCCAGUCUCCUGCUCCAGCAUUGACGCACAAAUUGCAUCUGAAGCAAGCUCCAGUCAGGCAAAGAGCACUUCUUCGUCAUCUGUGGUGGGGAGCACAGAGAAUCGUUCAUGAGCAGAAUCUUAAAUCUAAGUCACAAUGGGCAGAGCAAUUGUGUUUACCUAAUUUGUAUAGCUCUGGGAUUGAGGCCAGGACCUCCUGCCUGCUAGGCAAACCCCCAAGCAUGGAAACACAGCUCCAGCAGAACAAUGACUUUUGUUAGAUGCUUAGAUAUUCACUUAAGACUUAAAAAAUCUAAGCAGUAUAGCACAUGCUCACAGACACACACACACACACACACACACCCUGCUGUUCACUUUUAUGCUUCAUUCGCAUCCCCUGCAGUUUUUGAAAUGUGCCCCAGCAAGCAUUUCAUUAUGUGUAUUCAUGAUUAGACAAAGUAUAACAAAUUGAUAAACAUGCAUUUCUUUCCAGAUACAGCUUAAAUCUGUAUGUUUGUUAUGAAAUUUCUCUCAAAAGGAAAGUGGGUACUACAGAAAAUAAAAUCGAAGAAUCCCUGUG